GAUGAACGCUGGCGGCGCGCCUAACACAUGCAAGUCGAACGAUUAAAGCACCUUCGGGUGUGUAUAAAGUGGCGAACGGCUGAGUAACACGUGGGCAACCUGCCCCUUUCAUUGGGAUAGCCACGGGAAACCGUGGAUAAUACCGAAUACUUCGAGACUUCCGCAUGGAAGACUCGAGAAAGCUCCGGCGGAGAGGGAUGGGCCCGCGGCCUGUUAGCUUGUUGGUGGGGUAACGGCCUACCAAGGCAAUGAUGGGUAGCUGGGUUGAGAGACCGACCAGCCAGAUUGGGACUGAGACACGGCCCAGACUCCUACGGGAGGCAGCAGUGGGGAAUCUUGCAAAAUGGGCGAAAGCCUGAUGCAGCGACGCCGCGUGCGGGAUGAAGGCCUUCGGGUUGUAAACCGCUUCCAGCAGGGACGAGGCGAAAGUGACGGUACCUGCAGAAGAAGCCCCGGCUAACUACGUG
rnacentral:rRNA from 1 species